GAAGUCUCAGCUACCUCUCCAGCACCAUGUUGGCCUGCUCAUCUCCAGUCCCUCCACAAUGACCGAAUCUCUGAACUGUCUGCACUUGGCAGCCAUGCCAACAGACACCCAAGGAUAGAAUGAAGACUGGGGCUUUGUGCCUUUGAUCCAUCAAAUGUGCUCUUGAAGAUUGGCUUGUCUCUGGGAAAGAGUACAGGAGCCCAGAGCCCAAAUGGCAUAGGCUCAGGAGGGCAAGGGAUCCCGGGGAAGAGCCUAAGAAGAUGGAAGCCUAAGAAGGAGACUUGCUUGAGAAUGGACUUGGAUGCUCAUCCAGGACAGAGGUUCAAACACACACACAUUCUAAGGAGUCACCACAACCCAGUGAGGAGGCAUAACCCUCAUUUUGCAGAUGAAGAAAAGCAGGCACAGUGUACUUGCCCCACAGGGAGUCACUGUCACUAUCUCCUGCCUGUCAUCUACCUGUUGUACUUGUCCCAGUCAGCAAUCCCUAGUCUUUAGACCGUGGGAAGGCCGUGGGUUUAGCAGUUCAGACUCUAGAUGC
rnacentral:lncRNA from 1 species